rnacentral:rRNA from 1 species
CCUACGGGAGGCAGCAGUGAGGAAUAUUGGUCAAUGGCCGGAAGGCUGAACCAGCCAAGCCGCGUGAGGGAGGAAGGCGCAGAGCGUCUCAGACCUCUUUUGCCGGGGGACAAAAGCCCGGACUCGUCCGGUCCUGAGGGUACCCGGAGAAAAAGCAUCGGCUAACUCCGGGCCAGCAGCCGAGGUACUACGGAGUAUGCGAGCGUUAUCCGGAUUCAUUGGGUUUAAAGGGUGCGCAGGCGGGCCUUUAAGCCGGCGGUGAAAUCGCGGGGCUCAGCCCAGCCGAGCCGUAGAAACUGGGGGCCUUGAGUGCGGCGGAGGCAUGCGGAAGGCGAGGUGUAGCGGUGAAAUGCAUAGAUAUCGCGCAGAACACCGAUGGCGAAGGCAGCGUGCUGUGCCGUCACUGACGCUGAGGCACGAAAGCGCGGGGAUCGAACAGGAUUAGAUACCCUAGUAGUC